GGGCUUGUAGCUCAGUUGGGAGAGCGCUGCGUUCGCAACGCAGAGGUCAUGGGUUCGAAUCCCACCAGGUCCACCA
rnacentral:tRNA from 1 species